CCUACGGGAGGCAGCAAUGGGGGAUAUUGCACAAUGGGGGGAACCCUGAUGCAGCGACGCCGCGUGGGUGAAGAAGCGCCUCGGCGUGUAAAGCUCUGUCAGCAGGGAAGAAAAUGACGGCACCUGAAGCAGAAGCCCCGGCUAACUACGUGCCAGCAGCCGCGGCAAUACGCAGGGGGCAAGCGUUAUCCGGAUUUACUGGGCGUAAAGGGGGCGUAGACGGGUUUGCAAGCCAGGAGUGAAAGCCCGGGGCCCAACCCCGGGACUGCUCUUGAAACUGCGAGGCUGGAGUGCAGGAGGGGCAGGCGGAAUGCGUGGUGUAGCGGUGAAAUGCGUAGAUAUCAGGAGGAACACCGGUGGCGAAGGCGGCCUGCUGGACUGCAACUGACGUUGAGGCCCGAAAGCGUGGGGAGCAAACAGGAUUAGAUACCCCUGUAGUC
rnacentral:rRNA from 1 species